rnacentral:rRNA from 1 species
AUUGAACGCUGGCGGCAGGCCUAACACAUGCAAGUCGAACGAGUGGCGGACGGGUGAGUAAUGUCUGGGAAACUGCGCGAUGGAGGGGGCUAACUACUGGGAACGGUAGCUAAUACCGCAUACCAUCGGAUGUGCCCAGAUGGGAUUAGCUAGGAGGUGGGGUAACGGCUUACCAAGGCGACGAUCCCUAGCUGGUCUGAGAGGAUGACCAGCCACACUGGAACUGAGACACGGUCCAGACUCCUACGGGAGGCAGCAGUGGGGAAUAUUGCACAAUGGGCGCAAGCCUGAUGUAGCCACGCCGCGUGGAUGAAGAAGGCCUUCGGGUUGUAAAGUUCUUUUAGUGAGGAGGCGUUACUCGCAGAAGAAGCACCGGCUAACUCCGUGCCAGCAGCCGCGGUAAUAC